GCACUGCUGAGGAGUCCCAUACUAAGACGAAACGGCCGUCCAGUGC
rfam:Schistosoma margrebowiei strain Zambia genome assembly, scaffold: SMRZ_contig0001604